UUUAGAUCCCAAAAAGUCAUGAGAUUUGUGUGACUCAUGAGUUUUGAAUGUUUGGACCUGGCCGUACUCCUGAUGCAACAAUUUAUAUAUCCUCCUGUCUAGAGCUUUUCGAAAAAGGUGUGGUUCAUGCCAUAGAGCUGCCCAGAUCACUCCUGCAAUAACCAGCAGGUCCCUCUUCUCUCUCACUGAAGGCCCGGAGUUAGAGAGGCCCAUGGUACAACAGGCUUUAAAGGAAACAUAUUAGCAGGAGAUUUCAGAUUUCAAAGCCACAAAGAAGAUCCUCCCAUCUGAGUCUCUUGGACACGGUUGGGGAUAUACAUCCCACUGACUUUGUCUGGAAGCUCUUUAGGUCACUGUGAUUCUGUCACAUCUCAACACCCCACAGCAAACAUCUCAGCAGGCACAUGAAGUCUACAGCGGUGGUAUGUGAGUGGUCACACACACCCACAGUGCUAUCAACAGAUGACAGAGACAAAAGCCAGAAGUGGGAAGUACUCAGAAACCCAGGAAAUCAAAGCCAAACCCAUGCCCGCCAGAAGCACUCUCACAGCCCAGAACAGCAGGCAUCCACUGGACAUGCCUCCACCAAGCCUGGCACCCAGAGAGCCUGAUCCCAGAGAUGCCACCCCAGAUGCACAGCCAGGAUCAUUCUCACUCUCACACUGAGCUGCACGGAGUGCUAGAAAUAUCCAGAUUUGAGCUCCCCGGGGCUGCUUUCAACUGGUUCCCGAACCCACAGACCAUCCAGCCCUCUCUGCCCGUGUGGCCUGUAUUCAGGCAGCCCCAGUGCUGCUCAUAGCAGGCCAGUACCCUUAGCCGGCACAGAGCCAAUUAGAUAAGGGGCUUCUUGGCCACUGCUUUCAUCUGUCUCCCAAAAACUCACAUCAGCCUAGGCCAGUCAGACACCCCUCCACUGUCUGAUCAGGCCUGACACUGUUCCAGAAAGACCGACUAGAUGCUUCUCCUCCACGGGGUGCAGCCACGGCAGGAGAGCUCUGAACUACCAGGCAAGCAGCUCUGCUCUCCUCUGUGCUGGAAUGCAUGUUGUACGGGGGAGGUGAGCAUGGUCAGAUACCACAGGGAUGGGCAGCAGGUAAAGCCCUGAAUGAGAUAAGACAGACUGCGUCUGGGAGGCGGUAUACAGGACGUGUUCAGCUAUGGUAGGGUCAUGGGCUGCUGUCGCCCUUCAUUAAUUUCAGCCCCCGCUUUGCUGUGCUAUGUCCUUUGGGGGCAUUCACACUAGCAUGUUGCCAGGCAAACACCCUUCUGAUGAACUUAAGCAUCCAAAUGCAAGACCUGAGCAUCCUGCUUGGGCCUUGCGUUGUUCUUAGAAAGCAUGUCCUUCUAUUCUCUAUUCAUAGACAAAAAAGACUUCACUUUCCUGCCCCCGCAGCAUUAGUGCCAACGAAGCAGGAGCCUCAGCACCAGCCUGCUGCUGGGUAUCCACAGGUUUUACAGCUUCCUGUUAGAAGGUGUAUAGUCCCCCUGACUUCUGUACAACACCCUGCACUUUGCUUCUGCAUCUCACAGGCACAUAUGCAACCAGCAGGAGGCGCUAACAUACCAAUGCUGCCUGGAUAGACGAGUAAUCAUGCCCUGGGGAACUAGAUGGUGGUUUUCAUUUUUACUCGCUAUUUGAUUCAGUCGGUUGAUUUUAAUCUGAGAGGCCAAAAUGAGAAUGGACAGCGUUCCCACAGUGAUUCUCUGAGAGGUCAGACGUCCCUUGUUCAUUCUGGGCAACAGCAGAGUGGAAACACUAUCCAUUCCCAUUUUCUCUCCUUCCAGCCUAAUUCUUUGUCACAUAGAACUUAACCCAGGGAUGGGCAAACUUUUUGGCCCGAGGGCCACAUUUGGGUAUGGAAAUUGUAUG